rnacentral:rRNA from 1 species
UACGUAGGGGGCAAGCGUUAUCCGGAAUCAUUGGGCGUAAAGCGCGUGUAGGCGGUUCCGUAAGUCCGCUCUGAAAGCCCAGGGCUCAACCCUGGGAGGCGGGUGGAUACUACGGAACUGGAGUACGGAAGAGGAGAUUGGAAUUCCUGGUGUAGCGGUGAAAUGCGUAGAUAUCAGGAGGAACACCGGUGGCGAAGGCGGGUCUCUGGGCAGUAACUGACGCUGAGGAGCGAAAGCGUGGGGAGCGAACAGG